UGGUCUCGUCAGCAGUGGUUGCCUGAACCCAAUGGAUGGCUGAGGCAAGGUGCUUGGCUCCUGCUGCUCUCCUCGUCCGUCCUGGCUCCCGUCAACCUCGUUCUUCCACUCCACCCUAAACUCAGAGCAGUGUCCUCUACCCUGACCCCAGAGAGAAAAGAACCAAAUAGGCUCAUAAUCCAGGAGGGAUAUCUGGAUUAUGGAAUAAAGAUGAGAAGAAUGAGCCAUGGCAGUGUUCCUGGUGCAGAAGUGCAGGAGGCAGGUGCUUGCUGACAUGAGGAGAUGUGCUGGGAGGACAACGCCAGUAUGGGAUAGGAAGUGAGAAAGCCCCACAAAACCCUUCUGCCCAGGGCAUUUCUCUACACUCACAUUUCUGCUUUUAGGACACACUGUUUUAAAUGCUCUAGUUUGCUUAUUUCUCUACAGCAUCCCUGGAAAAACCUCCCUUCUAUGUAAGCAAAAUGACUGCAGCACAGUAAGAGAAAAGAAGAAAAAAUUCAUUACCUCUGGAAGAUGUUUUAUUUCUCACUCGUAGUUUCUCUGGGAGUUUAGUGUUCUUAGGAAGUGAAAGGAAUCUUUUUGUAUUUGCUGCAGCCUGCAUGCAAAGAAAACCAAAACAUUUUAAGUCACUGCAGUCUAGUGUACCUGCAUAAUGCCAUGUUAAGAUACACAACUGAGGCUUGAACACAUUUCUGUAGCUAAAGGGCUUGAGAGUAGUUUUGAAUUAGCUAAUAUGUGAUCUUUUACUACACAUUCAGUGCUGAUUGCUGGCUGAAGACUGUGCUAACUAAGGUAAAGACUGAAUAAUCUCAAGCAGUUUAAUCAAAUGAAAACCUAGUGAAAUGCCCUCUGAGAUCAGAGUUAAUAAAUGUAUUGUCUCUAACCUCAACCUUGCCUGCACAGGCUUUCCUAAGGAAGGUAAAUGCUGCAAGCAUGGCACUUCAUGCAGCUUAAAACUUGUUUAAAACUUUUUAUUAGUCAGCUGCAAAAAUCCGGUGAGACUGUGGCUUGGGCUGAAGAACCAAUCUGCAUUCUGAUCCUGCAAGUGCUUUAUACAUAUAAAUGACUUUAUACAGUUGACUAGUCACACUGAAGUUGAUGAGGAAGUUAGGCACCAGCAUGAUCAUUUACCAGUUCAGGGCAUAAAAUUCUUGUUUUCCCCAGACUAAGAUUUAAAGGCUCUGGGAACAGACCACACUGCACACUUUCUAGAACACGAGAGGUACUUUCCAGGACAAGUUGCCUUUUUUUUUUAAUUCAAAAGUUUCUCAAGGACAUCCUUUCUUACAUUUGCUACAAAGAUUUUUAAAAUCUUUACAGUCUACCAGCUCUCCUAUGCUAAUAUCAUUACUUGUGGCAGAACCAAAGGGACCCUGAAAGGAAAUGUAUUUCCCUUAGAGAUUUUUCCUCUUUGGAUUUUUAUUCCUUUCGUCUUUCUCUUCUUCCCUCUGUGGAGGAUUUAUCCAAGGAUAAUUAUUCUAAAAAUUAUAGCCAGUGUGUUUUAAAAAGUUACCAGACAUCCUUUUUCUUUCCCUGCCCCCAAAGUCCUGCUGAGUCUCCUCACUAUUCCACACAGUAAAUAAUUUAAUUGUAUGAAAAAGAUAACAUAUGUAACUGUGGUUGAGAAGAAAAAAAAUCAUUCAGGAACAGUCUUGUUGUUACAAUUAACACUCCAGUAGCUCUGGUAAUGAUCACCUAUGAGACAUUAUCAUCCUUUUGGAAACAUUAUUCCAGCCUCAACUGCUGAAGGACAACUGUAUGAAUGAAGACAACAGUCACUAAAUAUUUCUGUAACAUGAAAAUACAUAUUCACAGGAUAGCUAAUUUCCUUGAUUCCUGAUAUGACCCAAAGGAUCCGUUUUCCUGCCUAUUAGUGUUCUCCAUUCCAAUAUGGCUGGAAGUUUACAACUGCAAGAUUGCCUUAUAGACUCAAAUAUUAUCAUGCCACAGCAAUCCUUCUAAGUGGAACAAGUUUUCCUAACCAGUGUCAAAAUCUGAAGGCCUGACUACGUUUUAUGAAUACUAAAGAGCAUAUAAUAUUUUUCAAGUGAAGAGCUUGCUCUGACUGAUGUGGUCAAAAGUCCUCUCCUAUAUUUUGGAGCUUAAGUAGCUUUUCUAUCUCAAACUCAUUUUUAACCUUUAAUCAUCCACACUUCAUCAAAAUACUGAUAGAGAAUACCUACAUUGUGCACGGAGCCUGUCCAGUUUCUCUGAGAUAAAAAUAUGGCAGCAGAUCCCACUCCCAUAUCACAUUCUACAAGACUGAAGCCUUGCUGAAGGUGUCAACACAAAUUAAGGGGCUCAUGGGUACAACUCAAGGUGUAAGUGUGAUAUUACAUGUGCAGUUGUCUUCCAAAUUCAGGAUUUUUCCCUGCAUGUCAGAAGAUUGCUUUUUCUGCAUGACAGUUAGCUACAAAGAGCUGCUUUCAAUAAAAAUUAAAAUUUAAAAAAACAGACCAAAAAAAAAAAAAAACAACAAAAA